UGGGGAAUUUUGGACAAUGGGCGAAAGCCUGAUCCAGCCAUGCCGCGUGAGUGAAGAAGGCCUUCGGGUUGUAAAGCUCUUUCGCGAGGGAAGAAAACUUAGCUAAUAACACUAGUUGAGGAUGACGGUACCUUGAUAAGAAGCACCGGCUAACUACGUGCCAGCAGCCGCGGUAAUACGUAGGGUGCGAGCGUUAAUCGGAAUUACUGGGCGUAAAGCGUGCGCAGGCGGUUUUGUAAGUCAGAUGUGAAAUCCCCGGGCUCAACCUGGGAACUGCGUUUGAAACUACAAGGCUAGAGUGUAGAAGAGGGGGGUAGAAUUCCACGUGUAGCAGUGAAAUGCGUAGAGAUGUGGAGGAAUACCGAUGGCGAAGGCAGCCCCCUGGGCUAACACUGACGCUCAUGCACGAAAGCGUGGGGAGCAAACAGG
rnacentral:rRNA from 1 species